rnacentral:rRNA from 1 species
ACGGCUCAGUAACACGUCGGUAACCUACCCUCGGGAGGGGGAUAACCCCGGGAAACUGGGGCUAAUUCCCCAUAGGCCUGAGGUACUGGAAGGUCCUCAGGCCGAAAGGGACUUAUGUCCGCCCGAGGAUGGGCCGGCGGCCGAUUAGGUAGUUGGUGGGGUAAUGGCCCACCAAGCCGAAGAUCGGUACGGGCUGUGAGAGCAGGAGCCCGGAGAUGGACACUGAGACACGGGUCCAGGCCCUACGGGGCGCAGCAGGCGCGAAACCUCCGCAAUGCGGGAAACCGCGACGGGGGGACCCCGAGUGCCGUGGCAACGUCACGGCUUUUCCGGAGUGUAAAAAGCUCCGGGAAUAAGGGCUGGGCAAGGCCGGUGGCAGCCGCCGCGGUAAUACCGGCGGCCCGAGUGGUGGCCGCUAUUAUUGGGCCUAAAGCGUCCGUAGCCGGGCCCGUAAGUCCCUGGCGAAAUCCCACGGCUCAACCGUGGGGCUUGCUGGGGAUACUGCGGGUCUUGGGACCGGGAGAGGCGGGGGGUACCCCUGGGGUAGGGGUGAAAUCCUAUAAUCCCAGGGGGACCGCCAGUGGCGAAGGCGCCCCGCUGGAACGGGUCCGACGGUGAGGGACGAAGGCCAGGGGAGCAAACCGGAUUAGAUACCCGGGUAGUCCUGGCUGUAAAGGAUGCGGGCUAGGUGUCGGGUGAGCCUCGAGCUCGCCCGGUGCCGUAGGGAAGCCGUUAAGCCCGCCGCCUGGGGAGUACGCCGCAAGGCUGAAACUUAAAGGAAUUGGCGGGGGAG